GCUAUUUUGGCAGAAAAUUGUGAUAAAUUUAGAAUUUAUUUAUGUAGUAUUUACUACAAAUAGUA
rnacentral:tRNA from 1 species